AACGAACGCUGGCGGCAGGCCUAACACAUGCAAGUCGAACGCUGUAGCAAUACAGAGUGGCAGACGGGUGAGUAACGCGUGGGAACCUUCCCAAUGGUACGGAAUAGCUCAGGGAAACUUGAGGUAAUACCGUAUAAGCCCCUAGGGGGAAAGAUUUAUCGCCAUUGGAUGGGCCCGCGUCGGAUUAGCUAGUUGGUGGGGUAAUGGCCUACCAAGGCGACGAUCCGUAGCUGGUUGGAGAGAAUGACCAGCCACACUGGGACUGAGACACGGCCCAGACUCCUACGGGAGGCAGCAGUGGGGAAUCUUGGACAAUGGGCGCAAGCCUGAUCCAGCCAUGCCGCGUGAGUGACGAAGGCCUUAGGGUUGUAAAGCUCUUUUGCCGGGGACGAUAAUGACGGUACCCGGAGAAUAAGUCCCGGCUAACUUCGUGCCAGCCGCCGCCGUAA
rnacentral:rRNA from 1 species